UACGUAGGGGGCAAGCGUUGUCCGGAUUUACUGGGCGUAAAGAGCGUGUAGGCGGCCACGCAGGUCCGUUGUGAAAACUGGAGGCUCAACCUCCAGCUGUCGACGGAAACCGUGUGGCUAGAGUCCGGAAGAGGAGAGUGGAAUUCCGGGUGUAGCGGUGAAAUGCGUAGAUAUCCGGAGGAACACCGGUGGCGAAGGCGGCUUCCUGGACCGACACUGACGCUGAGGCGCGAAAGCUAGGGGAGCAAACGGG
rnacentral:rRNA from 1 species